rnacentral:rRNA from 1 species
CCUACGGGGGGCAGCAGUGAGGAAUAUUGGUCAAUGGACGAGAGUCUGAACCAGCCAAGUAGCGUGAAGGAUGACUGCCCUAUGGGUUGUAAACUUCUUUUGUACGGGGAUAAAUCAGGAUACGUGUAGCGGGUUGAAAGUAUCGUACGAAUAAGGAUCGGCUAACUCCGUGCCAGCAGCCGCGGUAAUACGGAGGAUUCAAGCGUUAUCCGGAUUUAUUGGGUUUAAAGGGUGCGUAGGCGGUUCGAUAAGUUAGAGGUGAAAUCCCGGGGCUCAACUCCGGCACUGCCUCUGAUACUGUCGGGCUAGAGUUUAGUUGCGGUAGGCGGAAUGUAUGGUGUAGCGGUGAAAUGCAUAGAGAUCAUACAGAACACCGAUUGCGAAGGCAGCUUACCAAACUACGACUGACGUUGAGGCACGAAAGCGUGGGGAGCAAACAGGAUUAGAUACCCGAGUAGUC